UACGUAGGGUGCGAGCGUUAAUCGGAAUUACUGGGCGUAAAGUGUGCGCAGGCGGCCGCGCAAGUCGAGUGUGAAAGCCCCGGGCUUAACUUGGGAAUUGCGCUCGAAACUACGUGGCUAGAGUGUGGCAGAGGGAGGUGGAAUUCCACGUGUAGCGGUGAAAUGCGUAGAUAUGUGGAGGAAUACCGAUGGCGAAGGCAGCCCCCUGGGAUGACACUGACGCUCAUGCACGAAAGCGUGGGGAGCAAACAGG
rnacentral:rRNA from 1 species